rnacentral:rRNA from 1 species
GACGAACGCUGGCGGCGUGCCUAAUACAUGCAAGUAGAACGCUGAAGGAGGAGCUUGCUUCUCUGGAUGAGUUGCGAACGGGUGAGUAACGCGUAGGUAACCUGCCUGGUAGCGGGGGAUAACUAUUGGAAACGAUAGCUAAUACCGCAUAAUAGUAGAUGUUGCAUGACAUUUGCCUAAAAGGUGCAAUUGCAUCACUACCAGAUGGACCUGCGUUGUAUUAGCUAGUUGGUGGGGUAACGGCUCACCAAGGCGACGAUACAUAGCCGACCUGCGAGGGUGAUCGGCCACACUGGGACUGAAACACGGCCCAGACCCCUACGGGAGGCAGCAGUAGGGAAUCUUCGGCAAUGGACGGAAGUCUGACCGAGCAACGCCGCGUGAGUGAAGAAGGUUUUCGGAUCGUAAAGCUCUGUUGUAAGAGAAGAACGAGUGUGAGAGUGGAAAGUUCACACUGUGACGGUACCUUACCAGAAAGGGACGGCUAACUACGUG